rnacentral:rRNA from 1 species
ACGAGCGCAACCCUUAUCCGUGGUGGCCAGCGGUCAGGCCGGGAACURAAAUGAGAMUKSCSGUGAWAAACUGGAGGAAGGKGGGGAUGACGUCAAGKCAUCAUGGCCCUUACGACCAGGGCUACACACGUGCUACAAUGGCGCAUACAAAGAGAAGCGACCUCGCGAGAGCAAGCGGACCUCAUAAAGUGCGUCGUAGUCCGGAUUGGAGUCUGCAACUCGACUCCAUGAAGUCGGAAUCGCUAGUAAUCGUGGAUCAGAAUGCCACGGUGAAUACGUUCCCGGGCCUUGUACACACCGCCCGUCACACCAUGGGAGUGGGUUGCAAAAGAAGUAGGUAGCUUAACCUUCGGGAGGGCGCUUACCACUUUGUGAUUCAUGACUGGGGUGAAGUCGUAACAAGGUAACCGUAGGGGAACCUGCGGUUGGAUCACCUCCUUACCUUAAAGAA